AACGCAUCUUGCACUCCUUGGUAUUCCGAGGAGCAUGCCUGUUUGAGUGUCAUUAAAUUCUCAACUGUCUUCUACUUUUGUAGAGGACAGCUUGGAUUGUGGGGCUUGCUGGCCUCAACUUGUGUUGAGGUCGGCUCCUCUGAAAUGCAUUAGCGGAACCGUUUGCGAUCUGCCACAAGUGUGAUAAACUAUCUACACUGGCAAGGGGGAUUGCUUUCUGUGUUGUUCAGCUUCUAAUCGUCUCAAUGAGACAACAUUUUUGAACACUUGACCUCAAAUCAGGUAGGACUACCCGCUGAACUUAA
rnacentral:misc_RNA from 1 species